rfam:Stegodyphus mimosarum contig63923, whole genome shotgun sequence.
UCCUUCGUGGUGUAGUGGUCAGCACGCUCAACGGGUAUUCGAGAGGUCCGUGGUUCAAGUCCCGGCGAGGGCA